AUUGAACGCUGGCGGCAGGCUUAACACAUGCAAGUCGAGCGGAGAUGAGGUGCUUGCACCUUAUCUUAGCGGCGGACGGGUGAGUAAUGCUUAGGAAUCUGCCUAUUAGUGGGGGACAACAUUCCGAAAGGGAUGCUAAUACCGCAUACGUCCUACGGGAGAAAGCAGGGGAUCUUCGGACCUUGCGCUAAUAGAUGAGCCUAAGUCGGAUUAGCUAGUUGGUGGGGUAAAGGCCUACCAAGGCGACGAUCUGUAGCGGGUCUGAGAGGAUGAUCCGCCACACUGGGACUUGGACACGGCCCAGACUCCUACGGGAGGCAGCAGUGGGGAAUAUUGGACAAUGGGGGGAACCCUGAUCCAGCCAUGCCGCGUGUGUGAAGAAGGCCUUAUGGUUGUAAAGCACUUUAAGCGAGGAGGAGGCUACUGAGACUAAUACUCUUGGAUAGUGGACGUUACUCGCAGAAUAAGCACCGGCUAACUCUGUGCCAGCCGCCGCAGUAACAC
rnacentral:rRNA from 1 species